rnacentral:rRNA from 1 species
ACAUGCAAGUCGAACGAGAAAGUUUGGUGGAUCCUUCGGGUGACAUUAGAACUGGAAAGUGGCGAACGGGUGAGUAACGCGUGGGUAACCUGCCCUAUGGAAAGGAAUAGCCUCGGGAAACUGGGAGUAAAGCCUUAUAUUAUGGUUUUGUCGCAUGGCAAGAUCAUGAAAACUCCGGUGCCAUAGGAUGGACCCGCGUCCCAUUAGCUAGUUGGUGAGAUAACAGCCCACCAAGGCGACGAUGGGUAACCGGUCUGAGAGGGCGAACGGUCACACUGGAACUGAGACACGGUCCAGACUCCUACGGGAGGCAGCAGUGGGGAAUAUUGCGCAAUGGGGGCAACCCUGACGCAGCGAUACCGCGUGAGUGAAGAAGGUUUUCGGAUCGUAAAGCUCUGUUAUUGGGGAAGAAGAAUGACGGUACCCAAUGAGGAAGUCCCGGCUAACUACGUGCCAGCAGCCGCGGUAAUACGUAGGGGACAAGCGUUGUCCGGAAUGACUGGGCGUAAAGGGCGCGUAGGCGGUCUAUUAAGUCUGAUGUGAAAGGUACCGGCUCAACCGGUGAAGUGCAUUGGAAACUGGUAGACUUGAGUAUUGGAGAGGCAAGUGGAAUUCCUAGUGUAGCGGUGAAAUGCGUAGAUAUUAGGAGGAACACCAGUGGCGAAGGCGGCUUGCUGGACAAAUACUGACGCUGAGGUGCGA